GAAAUAUAUUAUUUAAGGAAAAGCUUCUAACUUUUUUCUUUAGCAGUGAAAUUCUGUUAAUAUUUCU
rnacentral:tRNA from 1 species